GUGUGGAAGCUACUCAGCUAAACCACCGUAGGGUUUGCUGAUAUCUGAUUGGCUGGGUGUGACUUUGGUAAAAGGGGGUGUGGUUUGAUUCAGUUGCUUCUUUGGGAAGUUAGCAUUAUGGCUAACCCCUAAUAGGUGUUUUGGUAUCUAAUAGUUCAAGGCUUGAGGAGAGACGUGUUGGCUUGUAGACCAACAUGCAACGUUACUAGAAAAACACCAGGCCGAAUGAUGUCAUGGGAUUAUUAUUUUUAUAUUACGCCCGUAUGAUCUGUGCAGGCCCAAGUGCCUCAUCCUGCAGUCCUUUUGAGAGCUUGAACUGAUAUGAUCACUGUGAAGUACCAGCAUUGACACUUUUUGCCGAGGACUUGCAAAAAUGUAAUGCUUCUUAAAGAUGUCCCCAGAGCGCACCUGGAGUUUCCAUCAGGCCUGAGCCUUUCCACAAUCUUCUAAAUCUGUUUCUCCUUUGAAAGAUUAAAGUCAGAUGAGUCAAGCCCUUCAGAAGCCCAUCGAGCAGAUAAAGAGGGGAUUGUGAGAUGCAGCGAGACUGCGCUCGGUUGAGUCUGAUUGCAUGACUCAGACUCUAGUAUACUCAAGAACUGUGUGGGCAAAUCCAGGUUGAUGAAGCUUACAAGACAAUCAAAAUAUCCUGCCUGAUGUUACAAAACAUCUGUCCGCUGGGUGGUCCAGUCGACUUGUGUGACUAAUGGGAAAAUAUGUGAUGGAGAAGAGUCUAAAAGUCUGAAAAUGUUCAAUUGUUUUUUAAUUUAUUGUAAAAUGUUGAGUCACAGUUUAUCAGGGAAACAAUACGAGUUAGAAUUUGAAUAGAAAGAUUGUAGAUGAUAUAAAAAGCACAAAAAAACAAAAGAUCUGUCUACAAAAUAUAUAAAUUUAUGAUUUUUUUUGUAAAUAAAGGAAUUAAUACUUUUAUUCAGCAAGGGUGCAUUACAC